UUCGAUCCUAGCUCAGGACAGACGCUGGCGGGAUGCUUUACACAUGCAAGUCGAACGGCAGCACGGACUUCGGUCUGGUGGCGAGUGGCGAACGGGUGAAUGAUGUAUCAGGGAGCGUGCUAGUGGCGGGGGAUAACUGGGCGGCGUUGGUGGCAAUACCACAUACCGCCCUUCGAAGGAAAAGCAGAGGCCUUCGGGCCUCAGCACUAUUAGAGCGGCCGAUAUCCAGUUAGCUGGUUGGUGGGGUAACGGCUCACGCAAGGCGACGAUCCGUAGCUGAGUUUGAGAAAGGACGACCUGAGCCACGCAGGACUGAGACACGGCCCAGACUCCUACGGGAGGCAGCGGUGAAAUUUGGACAAUGGGGAAACCUGAUCCAGCCAUCCCGCGUGUGCGAUGAAGGCCUUCCGGGUUGUAAAGCACUUUUGGCAGAAACGACGGCACGGGAUAGUACCCCGUGCAACUGACGGUACCUGCAGAAUAAGCACCGGCUAACUACGUGCCAGCAACCGCGGUAAUACGUAGGGUGCAAGCGUUAAUCGGAAUUACUGGGCGUAAAGCGUGCGCGACGGUUCGGAAGAAAGAUGUGAAAUCCCAAACUUAACUUUGGGAUUCUGUUUUUAACUACCGAGUUAGAGUGUGUCAGAGGUGGAAUUCCGCGUGUAGCAGUGAAAUGCGUAGAUAUGCGGAGGAACACCGAUGGCGAAGGCAGCCUCCUGGGAUAACACUGACGCUCAUGCACAGCGUGGGGAGCAAACAGGAUUAGAUACCCUGGUAGUCCACGCCUAAACGAUGUCAACUGGCUAUUUGGGGCCUUGCCGGGCCUUGGUAGCGCAGCUAACGCGUGAAGUUGACCGCCUGGGAAGUACGGUCGCAAGAUUAAAACUCGAGAAUUGACGGGGACCACGCAAGCAGUGGAUGAUGUGGAUAUGAACUGGAUACAACGAAAAGACAUUAUUCUACUUGACAUGUCUGGAAUCCCGAAGAGAUUUGGGAGUGCUCGCAAGAGAACCGGAACACAGGUGCUGCAUGGCUGUCGUCAAGCUCGUGUCGUGAGAUGUUGGGUUAAGUCCCGCAACGAGCACAACCCUUGUCAUUAGUUGCUACACGAAGGGCACUCUAAUGAGACUGCGGUGACAAACCGGAGGAAGGUGGGGAUGACGUCAAGUCCUCCGCAUGGCCCAUAUGGUAGGGCUUCGUACGUCAUACAAUGGUCAGGACAGAGGGAUUCGCCAACCCGCGAGGGGAGCCAAUCCCAGAAGCCCGAUCGUAGUCCGGAUCGCAGUCUGCAACUCGGCUGCGUGAAGUCGGAAUCGCUGGUAAUCAGCGGAUCAGCAUGUCGCAGUGAAUACGUUCCAGAUUCAUUGUACACACCGCCCGUCGCACCGUAGGAGUGGUUUACCAGUAGCCUAACGUCAGGGCGAUUACAGUAGGAUUCAUGACUGGUGAAGUCGUAACAAGGUAG
rnacentral:rRNA from 1 species